rnacentral:rRNA from 1 species
UACGAGAGGCCCAAACGUUAUUCGGAAUUACUGGGCUUAAAGAGUUCGUAGGCGGCAUGAAAAGCAGGGUGUGAAAGCCCUCGGCUCAACCGAGGAAUUGCGCUCUGAACUGUCGUGCUUGAGGAACCUAGAGGUGAGCAGAACAGAUGGUGGAGCGGUGAAAUGCGUUGAUAUCAUCUGGAAUACCGGAGGCGAAGGCGGCUCACUGGGGUUUUCUGACGCUGAGGAACGAAAGCCAGGGUAGCGAACGGG